rnacentral:rRNA from 1 species
GACGUAGGGCGCGAGCGUUGUCCGGAUUUAUUGGGCGUAAAGAGCUCGUAGGCGGCUUGUCGCGUCGUCCGUGAAAACCUGCAGCUCAACUGCAGGCUUGCGGUCGAUACGGGCAGGCUGGAGUUCGGUAGGGGAGACUGGAAUUCCCGGUGUAGCGGUGAAAUGCGUAGAUAUCGGGAAGAACACCAAAGGCGAAAGCACUCUGCUGGGCCGAAACUGACACUGAUAGACGAAAGCUAGGGGAGCAAAUGGG